rnacentral:rRNA from 1 species
CUACGGGACGCAGCAGUGGGGAAUAUUGCGCAAUGGGCGAAAGCCUGACGCAGCAACGCCGCGUGAGUGAUGAAGGCCUUCGGGUCGUAAAGCUCUGUCGGGAGGGAAGAACACCUUCGGGUCUGACGGUACCUCCCGAGGAAGCACAGGCUAACUCCGUGCCAGCAGCCGCGGUAAUACGGAGUGUGCAAGCGUUGUUCGGAAUUACUGGGCGUAAAGCGCACGUAGGCGGCUUGAUAAGUCAGAUGUGAAAUCCCUCGGCUUAACCGAGGAACUGCAUUUGAAACUGUCAGGCUUGAGUACGGGAGGGGGAAGCGGAAUUCCCAGUGUAGAGGUGAAAUUCGUAGAUAUUGGGAGGAACACCAGCGGCGAAGGCGGCUUCCUGGACCGAUACUGACGCUGAGGCGCGAAAGCGUGGGGAGCAAACAGGAUUAGAUACCCCCGUAGUC